GAUGAACGCUGGCGGCGUGCCUAAUACAUGCAAGUCGAGCGAACGGACGAGAAGCUUGCUUCUCUGAUGUUAGCGGCGGACGGGUGAGUAACACGUGGAUAACCUACCUAUAAGACUGGGAUAACUUCGGGAAACCGGAGCUAAUACCGGAUAAUAUUUUGAACCGCAUGGUUCAAAAGUGAAAGACGGUCUUGCUGUCACUUAUAGAUGGAUCCGCGCUGCAUUAGCUAGUUGGUAAGGUAACGGCUUACCAAGGCAACGAUGCAUAGCCGACCUGAGAGGGUGAUCGGCCACACUGGAACUGAGACACGGUCCAGACUCCUACGGGAGGCAGCAGUAGGGAAUCUUCCGCAAUGGGCGAAAGCCUGACGGAGCAACGCCGCGUGAGUGAUGAAGGGCUUCGGAUCGUAAAACUCUGUUAUUAGGGAAGAACAUAUGUGUAAGUAACUGUGCACAUCUUGACGGUACCUAAUCAGAAAGCCACGGCUAAC
rnacentral:rRNA from 1 species